ACAGAAAGAACUAUGAAGCUCAAAGAGUUUCAAGAUUCAAAGUCUUCCAGGUCAAUAUUCAAACACAGAGGUUUUCCAGGGACUAAUAAAGCUAUCUUGAUCGGCUCUUCUACAAACUUGUCCUAUAUCUCUUACGUGGAAAGAUGGAAUAGAUAUAUUCCUGCUAAAUCCAACUGAAAACCUUGAAAAUUAUAUGUAAAACAAACCCAAGAAGACCUGAAAAGUGUAAAGAAGAAGGAAAACUAGCUAAGGAACUGGAGGACCAAAGAAUGGCAUGGUGGUAAGUUUUCUAUGUUUUGUUUUUGCCUCAUAUGUUUCCGACGUGGAGAUACAGAAGCUGGAAAAAUCCCAGAAAUGCCAGAGGAUGCAAAAACAAAAAUCCUUAACAAAAGCCUACUGGCUCUAGCCAAAGUUUCAGGAAAGGCACAUACUAGCAAGAAAGAAAGCUUCUAUAUAAUAACUCUUCCACCCUGACCAAAUACCACAGAAAAAAAUCUGUAGCCCAGUCCCACCUUAGCUAGCAAAAGCUAAAUGACAAGCAUAAAGUUUCAUUCUUUUCAGACUAUAAAGAGGGGU